rnacentral:rRNA from 1 species
CAAAAGCGUAUAUUAAAGUUGUUGCAGUUAAAAAGCUCGUAGUUGGACCUUGGGCUUGGCUGGCCGGUCCAUCUUUUUUGAUGCGUACUGGACCCAGCCGAGCCUUUCCUUCUGGCUAGCCUUUUGGCGAACCAGGACUUUUACUUUGAAAAAAUUAGAGUGUUCAAAGCAGGCCUUUGCUCGAAUAUAUUAGCAUGGAAUAAUAGAAUAGGACGUUAUGGUUCUAUUUUGUUGGUUUCUAGGACCAUCGUAAUGAUUAAUAGGGACGGUCGGGGGUAUCAGUAUUCAGUUGUCAGAGGUGAAAUUCUUGGAUUUACUGAAGACUAACUACUGCGAAAGCAUUUACCAAGGACGUUUUCAUUAA